AUGAAGUCACAGACCUUCACUGUGUUACAGCUUUUAAAGGUGGCAUGGACCCAAAGAGUGAGCAGCAGCAAGAUUCACUGUGAAAAGCGAAAGAACACAGCUUCCACACAUGGAAGGGCUUGCUGUCUGUCAUGUUGGUAUCUUAAUGGCUACCAAGAGUCUGUUUCAUCAGUCGUAAGGUCUCUGUUUUAAUGUUAAAUGCUGGUCAGCUGUGCCUGAAUUCCAAAGGAAGGGCUCAAUGAAGAGGGAGUCAUGAAGAAUUUGGAAGAGCAAGUGCCCCAGUCCUAUGUAUUUAUGUCUCCCCACUGAUGUACAGUGCUCCAUCUGCCAUAAAUAUCUAUCGACUCAAUUCUGAGUCAUUUACUGGACUUCUAUUUUUUUUCCUUUGGGCUAUUUCAUCUAUCAGGAGAUUUGCCCCAUGCUGUCUUGAAGGCUAACAUUAUGAAUUUUGAUUGGUGGUACGGCAGUUCCUUACAUCUUAUUAUUAUUAUUUUUAUUCUACAGAUUUGUUUUCAAUUCUUCGGCCUUUGACUUUUUUUGUACGAAG